CCUACGGGGGGCUGCAGUGAGGAAUAUUGGACAAUGGGCGCAAGCCUGAUCCAGCCAUGCCGCGUGCAGGAUGAAGCAUCUAUGGUGUGUAAACUGCUUUUGUACGAGAAGAAACACUGCUUCGUGAAGCAGCUUGACGGUAUCGUAAGAAUAAGGAUCGGCUAACUCCGUGCCAGCAGCCGCGGUAAUACGGAGGAUCCAAGCGUUAUCCGGAAUCAUUGGGUUUAAAGGGUCCGUAGGCGGGCCAGUAAGUCAGUGGUGAAAUCUCUCGGCUCAACCGGGAAAUGGCCAUUGAUACUGCUGGUCUUGAAUUAUUAGGAAGUAACUAGAAUAUGUAGUGUAGCGGUGAAAUGCUUAGAGAUUACAUGGAAUACCAAUUGCGAAGGCAGGUUACUACUAAUGGAUUGACGCUGAUGGACGAAAGCGUGGGUAGCGAACAGGAUUAGAUACCCCAGUAGUC
rnacentral:rRNA from 1 species